GGCGAAAUGACCGAGUGGUUAAGGUGCUGUGUUCAGGAAUGUGUGUUAAAAACAGUCUCCCAAAACCGCAGUCCGAAAGGGCGUGGGUUCGAAUCCCACUUUCGUCA